GAUGAACGCUGGCGGCGUGCCUAAUACAUGCAAGUAGAACGCUGAAGGAGGAGCUUGCUCUUCUGGAUGAGUUGCGAACGGGUGAGUAACGCGUAGGUAACCUGCCUGGUAGCGGGGGAUAACUAUUGGAAACGAUAGCUAAUACCGCAUGACAACAGUUAUUGCAUGAUAACUGUUUAAAAGGGGCAACUGCUCCACUACCAGAUGGACCUGCGUUGUAUUAGCUAGUUGGUGAGGUAACGGCUCACCAAGGCGACGAUACAUAGCCGACCUGAGAGGGGGAACGGCCAAACUGGGACUGAGACACGGCCCAGACGCCUACGGGAGGCAGCAGGAGGGAAUCUUCGGCAAGGGACGGAAGGCUGAACGAGCAACGCCGCGUGAGUGAAGAAGGGUUUCGGAUCGUAAAGCUCUGUUGUAAGAGAAGAACGAGUGUGAGAGUGGAAAGUUCACACUGUGACGGUAUCUUACCAGAAAGGGACGGCUAACUACGUG
rnacentral:rRNA from 1 species